UCACUUCUGACAAUUGUCCGCGAGAUGCGGAUCAAGUAAAGAGUCGUUCUUAUUUAAAAAAAAACGCUUUCCUCGGAAGGGAAAGCAUAAGUUGCAUACAUACAUUCCUCCAUAGAACUUGGAUUUUAAAAAGCCAAAGUGUCAGGUUUUCCAUCUUUGUGAAUACCUACAAUGCAUUAGUUUCUUUUUUUCUAUGUAUGUAGGCUGUUUAUUCGACACUUUUUCCGCAAUGGGGAUGCACAAUUGGCACAACUUAGCGAAGAGAGAAAUAAUUUACUAAUUUUUCCGGUCUCGGCCCAAACCGACAAAUACAUUAAUUACUAACUAAUCUUAGAUGUCCACCAAUAGUCAUAUAAGUAAAAAAACUAUCAAAAAUAGUUUUGGAGUAAUAAAGUUAUACCUAACUCGGUAAAAUUUCCAGAAAAAA